AAGAGAAAAAAGCGUUUCACAGAAGGAGGAUGCAAGAAAUUUAAAGCAUGCAGCUCUUUCCCGUUUUCCUCUCUUUUUCUUUUCUUUUCCUUUUCUUGUCGUCCCAUUUCCGUUGCCUGUCGAAGAUUGAAUUUCGCAAAAAGACAUGG
ensembl:ncRNA B0495.18 ncRNA